CCUACGGGAGGCAGCAGUGGGGAAUAUUGCACAAUGGGGGAAACCCUGAUGCAGCGACGCCGCGUGAGUGAAGAAGGAUUUCGGUAUGUAAAGCUCUAUCAGCAGGGAAGAAAAUGACGGUACCUGAUUAAGAAGCACCGGCUAACUACGUGCCAGCAGCCGCGGUAAUACGUAGGGGGCAAGCGUUAUCCGGAUUUACUGGGUGUAAAGGGAGCGUAGACGGCAGGACAAGUCUGGAGUGAAAUGCCGGGGCUUAACCCCGGAACUGCCUCGGAAACUGUGGAGCUAGAGUGUAGGAGCGGUAAGUGGAAUUCAUAGUGUAGCGGUGAAAUGCGUAGAGAUUAGGAGGAACACCAGUUGCGAAGGCGGCUUACUGGACUGUAUCUGACGUUGAGGCUCGAAAGCGUGGGGAGCAAACAGGAUUAGAUACCCUGGUAGUC
rnacentral:rRNA from 1 species